GUUGGAUCCUGCUGGAAAGUCAAUGAAGCUUGCAUUUGAUGUUUUCCCUCAAUUUGGGGUACUAGAGGGGAAAUUCGGUGGAACAA
rnacentral:ribozyme from 1 species